rnacentral:misc_RNA from 1 species
GAUGAAGAACGCAGCGAAAUGCGAUACGUAAUGUGAAUUGCAGAAUUCAGUGAAUCAUCGAGUCUUUGAACGCACAUUGCGCCCCCUGGUAUUCCGGGGGGCAUGCCUGUCCGAGCGUCAUUGCUGCCUCAAGCACGGCUUGUGUGUUGGGCCUCCGUCCUCCUCCCGGGGGACGGGCCCGAAAGGCAGCGGCGGCACCGCGUCCGGUCCUCGAGCGUAUGGGGCUUCGUCACCCGCUCUUGUAGGCCCGGCCGGCGCUUGCCGACACAUCAAUCUUUUUUCCAGGUUGACCUCGGAUCAGGUAGGGAUACCCGCUGAACUUAAGCAUAUCAAUAGCGGAGGA